AGUGAACGCUGGCGGUAGGCCUAACACAUGCAAGUCGAACGGCAGCACAGUAAGAGCUUGCUCUUACGGGUGGCGAGUGGCGGACGGGUGAGGAAUACAUCGGAAUCUACUUUUUCGUGGGGGAUAACGUAGGGAAACUUACGCUAAUACCGCAUACGACCUACGGGUGAAAGCAGGGGAUCUUCGGACCUUGCGCGAUUGAAUGAGCCGAUGUCGGAUUAGCUAGUUGGCGGGGUAAAGGCCCACCAAGGUGACGAUCCGUAGCUGGUCUGAGAGGAUGAUCAGCCACGCUGGAACUGAGACACGGUCCAGACUCCUACGGGAGGCAGCAGUGGGGAAUAUUGGACAAUGGGCGCAAGCCUGAUCCAGCCAUACCGCGUGGGUGAAGAAGGCCUUCGGGUUGUAAAGCCCUUUUGUUGGGAAAGAAAAGCAGCAGGUUAAUACCCCGCUGUUCUGACGGUACCCAAAGAAUAAGCACCGGCUAACUUCGUG
rnacentral:rRNA from 1 species